AUUGAACGCUGACGGCAUGCCUUACACAUGCAAGUCGAACGGCAGCACGGGUGCUUGCACCUGGUGGCGAGUGGCGAACGGGUGAGUAAUACAUCGGAACAUGUCCUGUAGUGGGGGAUAGCCCGGCGAAAGCCGGAUUAAUACCGCAUACGAUCUACGGAUGAAAGCGGGGGACCUUCGGGCCUCGCGCUAUAGGGUUGGCCGAUGGCUGAUUAGCUAGUUGGUGGGGUAAAGGCCCACCAAGGCGACGAUCAGUAGCUGGUCUGAGAGGACGACCAGCCACACUGGGACUGAGACACGGCCCAGACUCCUACGGGAGGCAGCAGUGGGGAAUUUUGGACAAUGGGCGAAAGCCUGAUCCAGCAAUGCCGCGUGUGUGAAGAAGGCCUUCGGGUUGUAAAGCACUUUUGUCCGGAAAGAAAUCCUUGGCCCUAAUACGGUCGGGGGAUGACGGUACCGGAAGAAUAAGCACCGGCUAACUACGUG
rnacentral:rRNA from 1 species